rnacentral:rRNA from 1 species
AUGCACGCUGGCGGCGUGCCUCAUACAUGCAAGUCGCGCGAACAGACGAGGAGCUUGCUCCUCUGACGUUAGCGGCGGACGGGUGAGUAACACGUGGAUAACCUACCUAUAAGACUGGGAUAACUUCGGGAAACCGGAGCUAAUACCGGAUAAUAUAUUGAACCGCAUGGUUCAAUAGUGAAAGACGGUUUUGCUGUCACUUAUAGAUGGAUCCGCGCCGCAUUAGCUAGUUGGUAAGGUAACGGCUUACCAAGGCAACGAUGCGUAGCCGACCUGAGAGGGUGAUCGGCCACACUGGAACUGAGACACGGUCCAGACUCCUACGGGAGGCAGCAGUAGGGAAUCUUCCGCAAGGGGCGAAAGCCUGACGGAGCAACGCAGCGGGAGUGAUGAAGGUCUUCGGAUCGUAAAACUUUGUUAUUAGGGAAGAACAAAGGUGUAAGAAACUAUGCACGUCUUGACGGUACCUAAUCAGAAAGCCACGGCUAACUACGUG